CUGUCUGCGACUCGAAAGUGAAGGGGGCAGGAAAAGGCGUGUGGACCAAUGCUCAUCUCCCAGCCCAUCUUGUGUUUGGUCCGUAUGAGGGCCGUGUCCUAUCUGGCCAUCCGGAAGCCGGUAAAGAAUCUGGCUAUGGCUGGAAGAUUCGAGGUACUGGAACAAGGAAUACGUGCAUUGAUGCUGUAGACAGUGCAGUUAGUAACUGGAUGCGUUACGUCAACUGUUCAAGAACUGAAGCUGAGACCAACCUAUCUACAUUUCAGUACAAGGGGCAGAUCUACUACAAGACGGACUCUGCAAUUAGCAGGGGGAGCGAGUUGAUGUGCUGGUACGGAGACGAUUACGGGAAGGAUCUGGGUCUGUCAAGAGAGCCGUCCAAGUGGAAACCAGCGAAGAAAGAUGUAAAAGAUCGGCAGUGCGAAUGGUGUG